rnacentral:rRNA from 1 species
UACAGAGGGUGCGAGCGUUGUCCGGAAUCACUGGGCGUAAAGGGCGCGUAGGCGGCUUCUCAAGCGUGUGGCGAAAGUCCGGGGCUCAACCCCGGAUCGGCCGUGCGGACUGGGGAGCUCGAGUUCUGUAGAGGCGGGUGGAAUUCCGGGUGUAGCGGUGGAAUGCGUAGAGAUCCGGAAGAACACCGGUGGCGAAGGCAAUCCCCUGGACCUGUACUGACGCUCAUGCACGAAAGCGUGGGGAGCAAACAGG